UAGUGAGUUUGAUCCUGGCUCAGGAUGAACGCUGGCGGCGUGCUUAACACAUGCAAGUCGAACGGUGAAAGAGAGCUUGCUCUCUGGAUCAGUGGCGAACGGGUGAGUAACACGUGAGCAAUCUGCCCCUGACUCUGGGAUAAGCGCUGGAAACGGCGUCUAAUACCGGAUACGAGCUGCGAAGGCAUCUUCAGCAGCUGGAAAGAACUUCGGUCAGGGAUGAGCUCGCGGCCUAUCAGCUAGUUGGUGAGGUAA
rnacentral:rRNA from 1 species